rnacentral:rRNA from 1 species
UGGGGAAUUUUCCGCAAUGGGCGAAAGCUUGACGGAGCAACGCCGCGUGAGUGAAGACGGCCUUCGGGUUGUAAAACUCUGUGAUUCGGGACGAAAGAUAAGCAGACGAAUAAUCUGCAUAAGUGACGAUACCGAAAAAGCAAGCCACGGCUAACUACGUGCCAGCAGCCGCGGUAAUACGUAGGUGGCAAGCGUUGUCCGGAAGUAUUGGGCGUAAAGCGCGCGCAGGCGGCUACUUAAGUCCAUCUUAAAAGUGCGGGGCUUAACCCCGUGAUGGGAUGGGAACUGAGAAGCUGGAGUGUCGGAUAGGAAAGUGGAAUUCCUAGUGUAGCGGUGAAAUGCGUAGAGAUUAGGAAGAACACCGGUGGCGGAGGCGACUUUCUGGGCACAUUCUGACGCUGAGGAACGAAAGCGUGGGGAGCAAACAGG